rnacentral:rRNA from 1 species
UGCGACCUCAGGUCAGGCGGGGGC